rnacentral:rRNA from 1 species
UUCCGGUUGAUCCCGCCGGACCCCACUGCUAUCGGGAUAGGACUAAGACAUGCUAGUCGUGUGCCUCAGCCAAAACGAGGCACGGCGCACAGCUCAGUAACACGUGGCUAACCUGCCCUUAGGACGAGAAUAACCCCGGGAAACUGGGGCUAAUGCUCGAUAGGUGAAGAACUCUGGAAUGAGUCUUCACUUAAAAGAGUCUGCGUUAUGCUCGUAGAUUUCGCUUAAGGAUGGGGCCGCGACCGAUCAGGUUGUUGGUGAGGUAAUGGCUCACCAAGCCUUUUACCGGUGCGGGCCGUGAGAGCGGGAGCCCGGAGAUGGGCACUGAGACAAGGGCCCAGGCCCUACGGGGCGCAGCAGUCGCGAAAACUUUGCAAUACACGAAAGUGUGACAGGGCUAUCCCGAGUGCCAUCCGCUGAGGAAGGCUUUUACCCAGUCUAGAAAGCUGGGGGAAUAAGGAGAGGGCAAGUCUGGUGUCAGCCGCCGCGGUAAUACCAGCUCUCCGAGUGGUGUGGAUGUUUAUUGGGCCUAAAGCAUCCGUAGCUGGCUAAGUUAGUCCCCUGUUAAAUCCAACGAAUUAAUCGUUGGAUCGCGGGGGAUACUGCUUGGCUAGGGGACGAGAGAGGCAGACGGUAUUUCCGGGGUAGGGGUGAAAUCCUAUAAUCCCGGGAAGACCACCAGUGGUGAAGGCUGUCUGCUAGAACGCGCCCGACGGUGAGGGAUGAAAGCUGGGGGAGCGAACCGGAUUAGAUACCCGGGUAGUCCCAGCUGUAAACGAUGCAGGCUAGGUGUUUGGACGGCCACGUGCCGUUCUAGUGCCGCAGGGAAGCUGUUAAGCCUGCCGCCUGGGGAGUACGAUCGCAAGAUUGAAACUUAAAGGAAUUGGCGGGGGAGCACCACAAGGCGUAAGCUCGGUAAUGGAUCAACGCCGGA